GCAUCCGGGCACUCGAGCCCCUCAGCGUCCCCUCGGAGUUGCGGGAGCGGUGCGGUUCCGCGCUCUGCUGUCUGUCAGGGCUGCUCUGAAAGUGUCCGUAGGGAUUCCUUAUCCCGGGCCUGAGGUAAACCACCUCCCAACCCCCUCCUUUACAGUGCCCCUCGCCAUGUACCCUUAAGCUGAGGCGGCGCCCCUGGAGGGCUGCGACCACCGCCCGUUUUCAGUUAGAAUACAAUAGUUUGGUAUAUGGAUUGAUUGCCUGCGUUCGAAGAAAGACUUCUGACUCCUAAAAAGGAACAACCAUGCUGGCCUUCUCUCUAAGGAUAGAACCACAAAGAAAGAAGCAAUAAAAACUGCGCUUACAUGAGAAAAAUAUAUGAAAAUAUUUUAAUUCCCUUCAGCCAUAAGUGAAUUUAUAUAUAGUUUAAUACUAAUUGCAGACCUGAUCAGAAAUGGUUACUAGGUUUUCCAGACUGUUCAGCUAGAUGCUAUAUUUUUAUUUUCCACUCUUAGCAAUUUUUAGGAUAUAUAUUUUUUUAUUUUUAGAACUUCUCAGGGCAUAUGAAAUAAAGGAAGUAAUGGCUAGUAGUAGGAAUAUAACCUGGUGAAAAGACACAGUCAAUAAAAAAAACAUCUUAUACAGUGUAAGAAAACAAUUGCUUUGUUCCCCAAAAUGGCUUAAGUAGUUAAAGUCUUACAAAAAAUCUUACAAUAAAUGUUACCUGCAAACAGAAACACAUUUAAGAAAUAAAAUUUAAAGAGAAUUAGGAAAAAAUGCAAGCAGUGCUGUUUAGCCUUUGAAAUUUAACAUUAAA